UCCUACGGGAGGCAGCAGUAGGGAAUCUUCGGCAAUGGGGGCAACCCUGACCGAGCAACGCCGCGUGAGUGAAGAAGGUUUUCGGAUCGUAAAGCUCUGUUGUAAGUCAAGAACGAGUGUGAGAGUGGAAAGUUCACACUGUGGCGGUAGCUUACCAGAAAGGGACGGCUAACUACGUGCCAGCAGCCGCGGUAAUAC
rnacentral:rRNA from 1 species